GACGAACGCUGGCGGCGUGCUUAACACAUGCAAGUCGAACGGUGAAGGGACCGGUUUUUGCUGGUUCUGGAUGAGUGGCGAACGGGUGAGUAACACGUUAGUAACCUGCCCCCUUCUUCUGGAUAACCGCAUGAAAGUGUGGCUAAUACGGGAUAUUCUGCGCCUGCUGCAUGGUGGGUGUGGGAAAGAUAUUGUUUCGGUGGGGGAUGGGCUCGCGGCCUAUCAGCUUGUUGGUGGGGUGAUGGCCUACCAAGGCGGUGACGGGUAGCCGGCCUGAGAGGGUGGACGGUCACACUGGGACUGAGACACGGCCCAGACUCCUACGGGAGGCAGCAGUGGGGAAUAUUGCACAAUGGGCGCAAGCCUGAUGCAGCGACGCCGCGUGAGGGAUGGAGGCCUUCGGGUUGUAAACCUCUUUCGCCAGUGAAGCAGGCCUGUCCCUUUUGUGGGUGGGUUGACGGUAGCUGGAGAAGAAGCGCCGGCUAACUACGUG
rnacentral:rRNA from 1 species